rnacentral:rRNA from 1 species
UACGUAGGGUGCGAGCGUUGUCCGGAAUUACUGGGCGUAAAGGGUUCGUAGGUGGCCAACUUAGUCAGACGUGAAAUCCCUCAGCUUAACUGGGGAACUGCGUCUGAUACUGGAUGGCUUGAGUGCAGGAGAGGAACGCGGAAUUCCAGGUGUAGCGGUGAAAUGCGUAGAUAUCUGGAGGAACACCGGUGGCGAAGGCGGCGUUCUGGACUGCAACUGACACUGAGGAACGAAAGCCAGGGGAGCAAACGGG